rnacentral:piRNA from 1 species
UGGGACCCACCAUGGUACAGUUCAGCCUCA